rnacentral:misc_RNA from 1 species
AACGCACAUUGCGCCUCUUGGUAUUCCUCGAGGCAUGCCUAUUCGAGCGUCGUUUCGACCCUUAAGCGCAAGCUUAGUGUUGGGGACCGCCCCUGAAAUACGGAGGCGGCCCUUGAAUCCAUCGGCGGUGCCGGUGCAGCCUGGAGCGCAGCAGCAAUGCAGCUUUGAGCAGCCCGAAGCCAGCCGGACAAACGAAACUUCAUUUUUUCUCACGUCGACCUCGAAUUAGGUAGGGAUACCCGCUGAACUUAA